UACGAAGGGGCUAGCGUUGCUCGGAAUUACUGGGCGUAAAGGGAGCGUAGGCGGAUAGUUUAGUCAGAGGUGAAAGCCCAGGGCUCAACCCUGGAAUUGCCUUUGAUACUGGCUAUCUUGAGUGUGGGAGAGGUUAGCGGAACUCCGAGUGUAGAGGUGAAAUUCGUAGAUAUUCGGAAGAACACCAGUGGCGAAGGCGGCUAACUGGCCCAUUACUGACGCUGAGGCUCGAAAGCGUGGGGAGCAAACAGG
rnacentral:rRNA from 1 species